UACAGGUUAACAGUUUUUUUCUGUCAGUACUUAAAGAUGUUGCUUUGGUAUAUUCUGCCUUGUGUAAUUUAUGAUGAGAAGUCUGCUUUUAACUCUGUUCCUCUGUAUGUAAUAUGUUUUGCUUUGGUUUGGUUUUUUUGGUGUGUGUGGCUACUCUAAAUAUUUCCUCUUAAGCAUUGGUGUUCAUCAAUUUGAUUAUGAUGUGCAUGGUUUUCUUUUUGUUAUUUAUUCAGAUUUUUUCACUUUUCCCUAUUUUCUGGGACUCCAAUUACACAUUUAUGUUGGACUACUUGAUAAUGUCACUGACACCUUGUUCAUUUUUUUUUUUUAAUAUUUUCUCUCUGGUGCUUUAUUUUGGAUAGAUUCUAUUGCUAUGUUUUCAAGUUCUCUCUCUCAUAUGUAGUAUCUAGCCUGCUGUAAAUACUAUCCUAUGUAUUUUUCAUUUCAAUUAGAUUUGGGUACCAACCUAACAAUAUCAAAUCUCUGAUUGCCUCUGGAAUAAACCUUAGGAACCCUGACCUUUGUCUUCCACAGUGGUCAUCUCCAUCAGAGGCAACUGAGAGUUUCAUAUCAAAGGAAAUUUGGUUUGCACCUCCACAAUUCUAUGAAAUAAGAAGACUGGGAAACUUUGCCUCUCUCUCUGACUUGCACAAAUUUUGUUUGGACGGUGCAUCAGAAGGAAUGGAAAGAUGGCUGCCGAUCACAUUUUUAACUGCUGAUGCAGUGCUCCAGCUUUUACCAGGAGAUGAGCUGUACUUAGAAGAUUCAGAAUUUUUAGAAAAUGUUAUGUCCUCUGAAAAAAAGACCGAAGAAAUCAUGAAGGAAGGCAAGACAUUUCACCGACUAGUGUUACACAGCCACCAUGUGUAUAAUCUCCACGUGACUAUCCAUUCGAAGUAUAAGCAGGUUUAUCCUAAGACCUAUGUGAUAAGUAAGAGCCAUUUGUAGAGUACUGCUUAUUUGUACUUGGUUGACUGCUUGAAGUUGUCCUGUGGAAUACUGAGGGUUGACGAGACUUGCUUGGAGCGUAAGGACCUGCCCAGAAGUUAUAGUACAGUCUUUCAUGUUUCAAGUGCAUUGGAGCACUUCCUUGCUUAUUUCAUUCUUCAAACCUUACAAUAUUCCACAAGUAUCAAUAAAGUGCUAAUGAUCUUGCUCCCAGAUUGAGGAAAAAACCUUUCACAAGGGUUUCCGCUUCUGUAUCAUUUUAUUAUCAGAAGUUUAAAUAAGAUGUCCGGUAUAUUAGCACUUCCCUUGAUGUGUUUAGGAGAUGGAUCCAUGACCCCCUUAGAUUUGCUGCUGGAAUUAGUUGAAGGGUGUCUGAUUACACAGGGGACAGUACACUGAGCUGACCUUCAAGUGACAGGGUCAUUAUUUUCUUGUAUGUCUUUAGCUUGAUGAUUAACCUUCAAUUCUGUUUACUACCAAAUGGCCUUAGUUAUUAGGUUUACCAAAUGGGAAACCUAUUUUAAAGAAAUAUGAAGCCAUCACAGAAGCCAUAAUUAUUUUUACUCUGGAGCAGUAGCUAAUGAAUACAAAGAGAUUAAAGAUCUGUAGAACUAGUCAUCAUUCAGUGGCAUUUUAUUAAUGGUGCUUAUUUUCAAUAUUUUUAAUAUGGGUAAUUUUUUCAUGUUCUCUCUUAAGAGGAAUACGGUUUUGAUUAAAGAUGGGAAAUGACUAAGACAUCAA